rnacentral:rRNA from 1 species
CUCCUACGGGAGGCAGCAGUGAGGAAUAUUGGUCAAUGGGCGCAAGCCUGAACCAGCCAUGCCGCGUGCAGGAUGACGGUCCUAUGGAUUGUAAACUGCUUUUAUACAGGAAGAAACACUACUUCGUGAAGUAGCUUGACGGUACUGUAAGAAUAAGGAUCGGCUAACUCCGUGCCAG